UACGGAGGGUGCAAGCGUUGUCCGGAUUUAUUGGGUUUAAAGGGUGCGUAGGCGGCCUUUUAAGUCAGGGGUGAAAUCCCGGGGCUCAACCCCGGAACUGCCCUUGAUACUGGGAGGCUUGAGUUCGGUAGAGGCGGGCGGAACUGGUGGUGUAGCGGUGAAAUGCAUAGAUACCACCAAGAACCCCGAUUGCGAAGGCAGCUCGCUGUGCCGAAACUGACGCUGAGGCACGAAAGCGUGGGGAGCGAACAGG
rnacentral:rRNA from 1 species